rnacentral:rRNA from 1 species
UACGUAGGGGGCGAGCGUUAUCCGGAAUUACUGGGUGUAAAGGGAGCGUAGACGGCGAAGUAAGCCUGAAGUGGAAGCCCGCGGCCCAACCGCGGAACUGCUUUGGGAACUGCUUAGCUGGAGUGCCGGAGAGGUAAGCGGAAUUCCUAGUGUAGCGGUGAAAUGCGUAGAUAUUAGGAGGAACACCAGUGGCGAAGGCGGCUUACUGGACGGCAACUGACGCUGAGGCUCGAAAGCGUGGGGAGCAAACAGG